AAAACAGGAUUGUUUCCUUUUUUGGUAUAGUUACAUAUCCUUUCAAUAUAGUUGUAUUCUAAAAAUCACGAUAAAAAUUGAAGAUGAAAAUCACAUUCAGUCCAAAAGUCAAAUCUUUAGAAGCUCUGAAAUUAAGAGAAAGACACAGUCAAAGAUCUAAGUUAUAUAUUGAUCAGGUGAACAUAAGCAGUUCAUUGUCUAGAGGAUCCCUAACUCAAGUAACAAAUAUCAGUGCAUUCAUAAAUGAUUUCAACACAAGCAUCUUAUCAGAUCUUAAUAUAAC